GAUGAACGCUGGCGGCGUGCUUAACACAUGCAAGUCGAACGGAAAGGCCCAAGCUUGCUUGGGUACUCGAGUGGCGAACGGGUGAGUAACACGUGGGUGAUCUGCCCUGCACUUCGGGAUAAGCCUGGGAAACUGGGUCUAAUACCGGAUAGGACCACAUUUUGGAUGGUGUGGUGGAAAGUUUUUCGGUGUGGGAUGAGCUCGCGGCCUAUCAGCUUGUUGGUGGGGUAAUGGCCUACCAAGGCGUCGACGGGUAGCCGGCCUGAGAGGGUGUACGGCCCAAUUGGGAACGAGAAUACGGCCAGGCCUCCAAGGGGGGCAGGAGGUGGGGAUAAUGGAACAUGGGGGCCAGGCUGAUGGAGGGGAGGCGGGGGGGGGGUGACGGCCUUCGGGUUGUAAACUCCUUUCGCUAGGGACGAAGCGUUAUGUGACGGUACCUGGAGAAGAAGCACCGGCUAACUACGUG
rnacentral:rRNA from 1 species